rnacentral:misc_RNA from 1 species
GAUGAAGAACGUAGCGAAAUGCGAUAAGUAAUGUGAAUUGCAGAAUUCAGUGAAUCAUCGAAUCUUUGAACGCACAUUGCGCCCGCCAGCAUUCUGGCGGGCAUGCCUGUUCGGGCGUCAUUUCAACCCUCGAGCCCCCCCGGGGGCCUCGGUGUUGGGGGACGGCACACCAGCCGCCCCCGAAAUGCAGUGGCGACCCCGCCGCAGCCUCCCCUGCGUAGUAGCACACACCUCGCACCGGAGCGCGGAGGCGGUCACGCCGUAAAACGCCCAACUUUCUUAGAGUUGACCUCGGAUCAGGUAGGAAUACCCGCUGAACUUAAGCAUAUCAAUAAGCGGAGGA